GGGUUGUGAGGUUAAGCGACUAAGCGUACACGGUGGAUGCCCUGGCAGUCAGAGGCGAUGAAGGGCGUGCUAAUCUGCGAUAAGCGCCGGUAAGGUGAUAUGAACCGUUAUAACCGGCGAUACCCGAAUGGGGAAACCCAGUGUGAUUCGUCACACUAUCAUUAACUGAAUCCAUAGGUUAAUGAGGCGAACCGGGGGAACUGAAACAUCUAAGUACCCCGAGGAAAAGAAAUCAACCGAGAUUCCCCCAGUAGCGGCGAGCGAACGGGGAGGAGCCCAGAGCCUGAAUCAGCAUGUGUGUUAGUGGAAGCGUCUGGAAAGGCGCGCGAUACAGGGUGACAGCCCCGUACACAAAAGCACAUGUGCUGUGAGCUCGAUGAGUAGGGCGGGACACGUGGUAUCCUGUCUGAAUAUGGGGGGACCAUCCUCCAAGGCUAAAUACUCCUGACUGACCGAUAGUGAACCAGUACCGUGAGGGAAAGGCGAAAAGAACCCCGGCGAGGGGAGUGAAAAAGAACCUGAAACCGUGUACGUACAAGCAGUGGGAGCCCCACCACUAAGCCAGUGGUGAACUCCACAUCCGCAUCCUUUGCUGAGGAUACGGUUAACGGAGCGAAAGCGACGUUCAACCGCAAAACAAGCAGAGGGGGCUUAG
rnacentral:rRNA from 1 species